UACGUAGGGCGCGAGCGUUGUCCGGAUUUAUUGGGCGUAAAGGGCUCGUAGGCGGCUUGUCGCGUCGAUAGUGAAAGCCCGCGGCUUAACUGUGGGUUUGCUGUCGAUACGGGCAGGCUUGAGGUAGGUAGGGGAGAGUGGAAUAUCCGGUGUAGCGGUGGAAUGCGCAGAUAUCGGAUGGAACACCGGUGGCGAAGGCGGCUCUCUGGGCCUUACCUGACGCUGAGGAGCGAAAGCGUGGGGAGCGAAC
rnacentral:rRNA from 1 species